rnacentral:pre_miRNA from 1 species
UAAGGAAUUAUCUGGAGAUCUUGUUAGAAUGCAGGUUCUGGUUUAGAAGAUGUGAGAUGGGGCUUGAGAUUCUGCAUUUCUAACAAGCUCCCAGGUGAUGCUCAU